AACGAACGCUGGCGGCGUGCUUAACACAUACAAGUCGAACGGUAAGGCCCUUCGGGGUACACGAGUGGCGAACGGGUGAGUAACACGUGGGUGAUCUGCCCUGCACUUCGGGAUAAGCCUGGGAAACUGGGUCUAAUACUGGAUAGGACCCUGGGAUGCAUGUCCUGGGGUGGAAAGCUUUUGCGGUGUGGGAUGGGCCCGCGGCCUAUCAGCUUGUUGGUGGGGUGAUGGCCUACCAAGGCGACGACGGGUAGCCGGCCUGAGAGGGUGACCGGCCACACUGGGACUGAGAUACGGCCCAGACUCCUACGGGAGGCAGCAGUGGGGAAUAUUGCACAAUGGGCGCAAGCCUGAUGCAGCGACGCCGCGUGAGGGAUGACGGCCUUCGGGUUGUAAACCUCUUUCAGCACCGACGAAGCGCAAGUGACGGUAGGUGCAGAAGAAGGACCGGCCAACUACGUGCCAGCCGCCGCCGUAA
rnacentral:rRNA from 1 species